rnacentral:rRNA from 1 species
CCAGACUCCUACGGGAGGCAGCAGUGGGGAAUAUUGGGCAAUGGUCGCAAGCCUGACCCAGCAACGCCGCGUGAAGGAAGAAGGCUUUCGGGUUGUAAACUUCUUUUAUCAGGGACGAAACAAAUGACGGUACCUGAUGAAUAAGCCACGGCUAACUACGUGCCAGCAGCCGCGGUAAUACGUAGGUGGCAAGCGUUAUCCGGAUUUACUGGGUGUAAAGGGCGUGUAGGCGGGCUUGCAAGUCAGAUGUGAAAUUCCAGGGCUCAACCCUGGAACUGCAUUUGAAACUGUAGGUCUUGAGUAUCGGAGAGGCAGGCGGAAUUCCUAGUGUAGCGGUGAAAUGCGUAGAUAUUAGGAGGAACACCAGUGGCGAAGGCGGCCUGCUGGACGACAACUGACGGUGAGGCGCGAAAGCGUGGGGAGCAAACAGGAUUAGAUACCCUAGUA